AUAACCUGUGCACGCGAGGACGUGCUCCAGAGCGCAAGUAUCCGCUCGGGCUUUCUCAGUCCUGUGGGCGGCGCUGGGCCACUUACAAGGACCCUGGCCUGCCCGGGUCCUCUGGGAAUGACGCAAGAAAGUCAGGGUCGACUUGACUGCAGACAACACUCACGCGAAGAAAAAACCGGGGAAUGACGCCAAGUGGGACAACCAAAGGUGUUCAGUGCCUCCACAGCAGGCAGAGAGCUAAAAGAAGAAAAGAGACUGCAGGGAGAAAAUAAUUUUCCUGGUUGGAAAAGCUCAGAAGGGAGAUUCAUUUAGGAACUCAAGACCACAAGGACUCCAAGACUGACUUAGCUGGGCAGUUCUGGCUCAAGCUGUCUCCUGAGGUUGCAGUCAAGCUCUCAGCCAGAACCGCAGUCAUCUGAAGCUUUGCCUGGACCUGGAUCUGCCUCCUGGCUCCACCUCGAGCUCACUCAGUUCCUUGUCACACCGACCUCUCCAGAGGGCUGCUGGCUUUCUCCAGAGCAAAUGACCAGAGAGACAGAGACUGAGAUGGAGGUGCAUUGACUUUCAUAAACUAAUCUCAGAAAUGACAUACUCUCGUGUCUACAGUAUCCUAUUGUUUACACACACCAGCCCUGAUAAGAUGUAGGAGGGGAUGACACCAGGGUGCGAAUGCCAGGAAGCAGUGAUCAUUGGAGGUCGGCUACCUCACUGAUCGCAGUUGAAGACCAUUCCCUAGAAAAUAAUGGGGUCCCUUCCCCGUCCUGGGUUGAAGAUUGCUACUUCUGCCUGUUUCCGCAGUCCCAGCCUUCCCGGCUGGGCUCCUUCUCCCGACCAGCUGCUGACUCGGACUCUCCCUGCUUAAACCUCGCUCUCCUGCCUCCUGCCUCUCCCCUGAGACAAUCUCACGCUCGAGAAUCAUUUUCUUAAGAAGGGUUGUUAUUGCUAACCCCACAGCCUGGGACACGUUCCAGAGAAACCAACACAGGGCUGUGACUAAGGUUCCCGUGCUCUGGACUCUCACCCAGGGUUGGAGAUCCUGGUGCCCUUUCCAAGAGGUUCUGGGAAUCUGGGCUGUAAGCUCCUUGAGGGAUGUUAGAGUUCAUACCGUAUAUACUUCUGGUUCCUACAGAAUCCACUCUGGGGCCUUUGCUGCAAAGUCCAAGUUGGUAAGGAAUUCUCUGAUGAUGGAUUUCCCUCGUGGCGCAGUGGUUAAGAAUUUGCCUGCCAAAGCAGGGGACACGGGUUCGAGCCCUGGUCCAGGAAGUUCCCACAUGCCGCGGAGCAACUAAGCCCGUGCGCCACAACUACUGAGCCUGCGCUCUAGAGCCCGUGAGCCACAACUGAUUAGCCCGCACUCCACAACUACUGAAGCUCGCACGCCUAGAGCCCGCGCUCCAAUAUGUCUAGUUGACAUAUUUUGAACCUCCGCAACAAGGGAAGCCACUGCAAUGAGAAGCCUGUGCACCACAACCAAGAGUAGUCCCCGCUCGCCGCCACUAGAGAAAGCCCACGCGCAGCAACUAAGACCCAACGCAGCCAAAAAUAAAUAAAUUAAUUAAUUAAAAAAAAAAAGAAUUAUCUGAUGGUCCUUGUUCUAAUUUCUUAGAAAAUUGCUCCCACCUUCUUUCUUCUGUUGCGGGCAGUGCUGGUUCAGAGACAAAAAUGAGAACAAGUCCACCGUUCGAGUGACCCAUGACUGGUGGAUCAGUCCCAUCUCAGAACCUGCAGCAACAAAAACAGUGAUCCCAGGGAGACUUUGGGGCCCCAAGGCUCUCAGUGAAGCAGUGGCCCCAGCUGCUGUCUGGUGCCACGGAGCCCAGCAAGUCCCCGGAGUCGGAGAAAGGGCUGUCCCCUGGCACUGCCUUUGUUCUCCUUCCCUGAGAAGAGGGCCACACCUGCUU